GGGAAUCUACCCAGAUCUACGGAACAACAGAGGGAAACUUCUGCUAAUACCGUAUACGCCCUACGGGGGAAAGAUUUAUCGGAUUUGGAUGAGCCCGCGUAAGAUUAGCUAGUUGGUGAGGUAAUGGCUCACCAAGGCGACGAUCUUUAGCUGGUCUGAGAGGAUGAUCAGCCACACUGGGACUGAGACACGGCCCAGACUCCUACGGGAGGCAGCAGUGGGGAAUAUUGGACAAUGGGCGCAAGCCUGAUCCAGCCAUGCCGCGUGAGUGAUGAAGGUCUUAGGAUUGUAAAGCUCUUUCACCGGGGACGAUAAUGACGGUACCCGGAGAAGAAGCCCCGGCUAACUUCGUGCCAGCAGCCGCGGUAAUACGAAGGGGGCUAGCGUUGUUCGGAAUUACUGGGCGUAAAGCGCACGUAGGCGGAUAUUUAAGUCAGGGGUGAAAUCCCGGGGCUCAACCCCGGAACUGCCUUUGAUACUGGGUAUCUUGAGUGUGGUAGAGGUGAGUGGAAUUGCGAGU
rnacentral:rRNA from 1 species